rnacentral:rRNA from 1 species
UACAGAGGGGGCAAGCGUUGUUCGGAAUUACUGGGCGUAAAGGGCGCGUAGGCGGCCUGCUAAGUCGAACGUGAAAUCCCCGAGCUCAACUCGGGAACUGCGUCCGAUACUGGCAGGCUUGAAUCCGGGAGAGGGAUGCGGAAUUCCAGGUGUAGCGGUGAAAUGCGUAGAUAUCUGGAGGAACACCGGUGGCGAAGGCGGGUCUCUGGGCAUCUCCUGACGCUGAGGCGCGAAAGCGUGGGGAGCAAACGGG